UGGGGAAUUUUCCGCAAUGGGCGAAAGCCUGACGGAGCAAUACCGCGUGAGGGAGGAAGGCUCUUGGGUUGUAAACCUCUUUUCUUAGGGAAGAACACAAUGACGGUACCUAAGGAAUAAGCAUCGGCUAACUCCGUGCCAGCAGCCGCGGUAAUACGGAGGAUGCAAGCGUUAUCCGGAAUUAUUGGGCGUAAAGCGUCCGUAGGUGGUUUUUCAAGUCUGCUGUCAAAGACCGUGGCUUAACCACGGAAAGGCAGUGGAAACUGAGAGACUAGAGUUCGGUAGGGGUAGCGGGAAUUCCCAGUGUAGCGGUGAAAUGCGUAGAUAUUGGGAAGAACAUCGGUGGCGAAGGCGCGCUACUGGACCGAAACUGACACUCAGAGGACGAAAGCUAGGGGAGCGAAAGGG
rnacentral:rRNA from 1 species